rnacentral:RNase_P_RNA from 1 species
AAGGCGGCCCGUUCUAUCGCUGUCCCGCGAGGGAGAGAGGAAAGUCCGGACAACGCAGGGCAUCGUGCUUCCUAACGGGAAGUCGUUCGAAAGGGCGAGGGAGCGUGACAGAAAACAACCGCCCCGUUCGCGGGGUAAGGGUGAAAAGGUGGGGUAAGAGCCUACCGGCGUGCCGGGCAACCGGCGCGGCCGCACGUCCCGCGAGUUGCAAGACCGUGUACAUUAACGCCGAGACCGGCCCGGUCGAGUUAAGGGGUAGGUCGCUAAACCCGCGGGGUGACCCGCGGGGUAGAUAAAUGAUAGAAACCGCGAGGUACAGAAUCCGGCUUACAGGGCCGCCCUUUUU